AGUGAUGUUACGGUAGAUGCAGUGCUCACGAAGUGGUAUCGACCUUCCGAAUCACUGUACCGGGCCUACAAAAUGUGUCGAGCGAGCGUCUCUUCAACUUGGCAAGAACACGUGAUCAUCCAAACAAAGCUUUGCACGUCACGCGACCAGCUGACACUGACAGUUGUGUUCGCACUUUAUGAGGGGUUAAGGAUGCUAUCUCCUAAAGUAUUCAACUUGUUGAUCAUUGUACGCCCAAACACGCCCGGGAAAUGAUGAAUCACAAGUGGCACUCAGGUCACGCCUCAAAGUUGUCACAUUCACAUUGAUGGAAUUUCGACGCUGCCAGGUCAAAAUGUCUGAUAUUUUGAAUGCAUUUCUAAUUGAUCAUGAGGAACAAUCAAGUCUCAAUAACCCAUAAUGUCCGGUCCACAUGAUGGAAUUUUCUCGACAAUGAUUAUUAAUGAAAAACUACCAAAAAGCCCCCUGUCUUAGAAAUAAAGGGGCCUACGGGCUACGGCAGAGGCCACCCCAGGGCAAGACGGAAAAGAGGAAAGGGAACAUGGGCCUCUUCCUGCAAAUCAUAUGGAAUGUACCAGGGGAAUGAAGCGAGUUGAGAAGAAUGCCUGUGGUACCUCUACCCAGAGCUCUACCUCCACAAGAUCCAAUCGGCGACGGCGAACGGUUUCAAGGCGCCCGUAGUCAGUGAUGGGCAUUUUGAAUCAUUGAGCAGCAAUGGAUCGAGUUCAGCUAGUUUAUUCUGAAUCCGUCGUUGCAACCAUAAAUUCGAACUGUAUAUAACAAUAUAUAUCAAAUAUAGUAGACUUAGUAGAAGAUUUGAUGUAAUCUAAAUCGUCAGGGUUUAUUUUAUUUAACAUGGCAAGAUACAUCCAUCGCUGGAGGGUAAUUUAAUAAUGUUUAAAGGGUAUCGAUGAGAAGGCACAAUCCCUCACACUGUGUCCAGUUGAUUAAAUUUGUUUUUUUGCAAUAAACCACAAUGAUUGA